rnacentral:rRNA from 1 species
UCGAGAAUCUUCGGCAAUGGGCGCAAGCCUGACCGAGCGACGCCGCGUGGAGGACGAAGGCCUUCGGGUUGUAAACUCCUGUCGAGGGGAAGGAAGGGGCCGCAAGGCCCUUGACCGCUCCCUGGAGGAAGCACGGGCUAAGUUCGUGCCAGCAGCCGCGGUAAGACGAACCGUGCGAACGUUAUUCGGAAUCACUGGGCUUAAAGCGCGUGUAGGCGGGUCGGUGCGUCGGCCGCUGAAAUCCCCCGGCUCAACCGGGGAAGGGGCGCCGAUACGACCGGCCUGGAGCGACGUAGGGGGAACUGGAACUUCCGGUGGAGCGGUGAAAUGCGUUGAGAUCGGAAGGAACGCCCGUGGCGAAAGCGAGUUCCUGGACGUCGGCUGACGCUGAGACGCGAAAGCCAGGGGAGCGAACG